UCAAGCUAGAAAGAGCGCAAGGGGAAUGCCUUGGCAUCAGGAGCCGAAGAAGGACGUGACAAGCUGCGAUAAGCUGCGGUGAGCUGCACAUAAGCUUUGACCCGCAGAUUUCCGAAUGGGGAAACCCGGCAGAGCAAUACUCUGUCAGCGUGCGUUGAAUCAAAUAGGCGUACGUGGGGAACCGCCUGAACUGAAACAUCUAAGUAGGGCGAGGAAGAGAAAUCAACCGAGAUUCCGCUAGUAGUGGCGAGCGAACGCGGAAGAGGCCAAACCGAAGGUAGCAAUAUCUUCGGGGUUAGGACUGCAAUAUGUAACUUUAAUCUUUAACUGAAUGCUUUGGGAAGAGCAGCGAUACAGGGUGAUAGCCCCGUAAGUGAAAAGGAUUGAGUGCUAGCAGUAUCCAGAGUACCAGCGGACACGUGAAACCCGCUGGGAAGAUGGGGGGACCAUCCUCCAAGCCUAAAUACUACUCAGUGACCGAUAGUGGAGCAGUACCGUGAGGGAAAGGUGAAAAGUACCCCGGGAGGGGAGUGAAAGAGAACCUGAAACCUUGUGCCUACAAGCACCGAGAGCACGUUAAAGUGUGAUCGGGUACUUUUUGUAGAACGGUCCGGCGAGUUAAUAUUUGCAGCGAGGUUAAGUAACUGGAGUUACGGAGCCGCAGCGAGAGCGAGUCUGAAUAGGGCGUAUGAAGUUGCAGGUAUUAGACCCGAAACCGGGUGACCUAUCCAUGAGCAGGCUGAAGCGGUGGUAAGACACCGUGGAGGGCCGCACCCACGUCUGUUGAAAAAGCCGGGGAUGACUUGUGGAUAGCGGAGAAAUUCCAAUCGAACUCGGAGAUAGCUGGUUCUCCCCGAAAUAGCUUUAGGGCUAGCGUUAUCUUAGUUUACCGGAGGUAAAGCACUGAAUGGGCUAGGGGCCGAUAAGGUUACUGAACCCUAUCAAACUCUGAAUGCCGGAUAAUUGAUGGCCAGCAGUCAGUCUACGUGAGAUAAGUCUCGUGGACAAAAGGGAAACAGCCCAGACCCACAGCUAAGGUCCCAAAGAUACGCUAAGUGGAAAACGAUGUGGAGUUGCGAAAACAACCAGGAUGUUGGCUUAGAAGCAGCCACUCAUUAAAAGAGUGCGUAAUAGCUCACUGGUCGAGUGACUCUGCGCGGAAAAUGUAACGGGGCUAAGCAUCUAACCGAAGCUUAGGAUUGUCGUAAGACAGUGGUAGGGGAGCGUUCCAUGUGGGGUGAAGUCGUAGCGGAAGCAGCGGUGGACUGCAUGGAAGUGAGAAUGCCGGAAUGAGUAGCGAGAAUUAUGUGGGAAUCAUAAUGGCCGAAAAUCUAAGGUUUCUUGGGGAAGGUUCGUCCGCCCAAGGUAAGUCGGGAGCUAAGGCGAGGCCGAGAGGCGUAGUCGAUGCACAUACGGUAGAAAUUCCGUAACCACCGAAACUUAAGUUAGAGGGACACUUCGAGAUAGCGGAACCGCGGCGUUGGUAGACCGCGGCGAAAGGGACUGAAAUAUAGUAGGGAAGUCCGCGAUGCUCGGAGGCGAGAAAAGCUCUAAGGAAUGCUAAGGUGCCCGUACCGCAAACCGACACAGGUAGAUGAGGAGAGAAUCCUAAGGCCAACGGGAGAAGGGUUGUUAAGGAACUCGGCAAGUUGACCCCGUAACUUCGGAAUAAGGGGAGCCUCGCAAGAGGCCGCAGUGAAAAGGCCCAAGCAACUGUUUACCAAAAACACAGGUCUAUGCUAAAUCGAAAGAUGACGUAUAUGGGCUGACGCCUGCCCGGUGCCGGAAGGUUAAGAGGAGAUGUCAGGCAACGAAGCAUCGAAUUGAAGCCCCGGUAAACGGCGGCCGUAACUAUAACGGUCCUAAGGUAGCGAAAUUCCUUGUCAGGUAAGUUCUGACCCGC
rnacentral:rRNA from 1 species